CCUACGGGAGGCAGCAGUGGGGAAUAUUGGACAAUGGGCGAAAGCCUGAUCCAGCAAUUCCGCGUGUGUGAAGAAGGCCUUCGGGUUGUAAAGCACUUUAGUGGGGGAAGAAACAGCUUGGCCACACCAAGCCUUGACGGUACCCCAAGAAUGAGCACCGGCUAACUCUGUGCCAGCAGCCGCGGUAAUACAGAGGGUGCAAGCGUUAAUCGGAUUUACUGGGCGUAAAGGGUGCGUAGGUGGCUAUUUAAGUCGGAUGUGAAAGCCCGGGGCUCAACCUCGGAAUUGCAUUCGAUACUGAGUGGCUAGAGUUCGGUAGAGGGCGGCGGAAUUUCCGGUGUAGCGGUGAAAUGCGUAGAUAUCGGAAGGAACAUCAAUGGCGAAGGCAGCCGCCUGGGCCUGGACUGACACUGAGGCACGAAAGCGUGGGUAGCAAACAGGAUUAGAUACCCUGGUAGUCCACGCCGUAAACGAUGCGAACUUGACGUUGGUUCGUUUUACGAAUCGGCGUCGCAGCUAACGCGAUAAGUUCUCCGCCUGGGGAGUACGGCCGCAAGGUUGAAACUCAAAGGAAUUGACGG
rnacentral:rRNA from 1 species